UUUCCCUGCAGGAAGUUGGAAUUACAUCACACUCGAAAUGAGUGAGUUCUCGAGGAGAGUUUGAUUUGUCUUAGAAGUUGGAGCUUAGAUCUGCAAAUUACACCACACUAAGAAUCGCCAGUGUCCUCAUUGCAAAAACCAUCAGAAUUUGUCCAACAAGUACAAAGAGAUCACAGAAUGACAAGUCUGAAAACCAGUGAAGUCUGCUGACUCUUUUUAUGGUAACAUCCACCAGCACCACAAGACCAUGACAAAAUAUUUAUCUUAAUUUCAUACAUUUAAGCACAAAAGGAACAUCUGUUCACAAAUACCUGUUUUAUAAUGCAAUGUGUGCCACCGAUUUAAUUAGAAACAGAAGUGCUACUCAGUAGCUUAUUCCUGCUGCUUUUACAACAACUAUGUGCAGCACUGGCAGCAGCUACACUUGGAAUUAAACUCAGUGGUGUUCAGAGACCUCAGGGUUUUCAAAUCAUAAUUCAGACUUCAGGGGGGAAUAUUGUUAUACUUCCAGCUGUUAACCAUGACUUAAAGCCGUUAACAAUCACAAACAUAAAGCUCCAGAUAUUUUUCUUUUUAAUUCUUUAUGUUAACAAUGUUAUUAAAUGUGUGGCAUUGAUAUUAAAGUACUUCUUAAAAAUGAUAUUUGACCUUCAAACUCAGAGACUGAGGCGCAGAUUAAAAAAAAUAUUGCAUCAUAGCAUAGGAGAAAACACAAACCACUAUUGCUAAUUACACGUGGUCUGUUAGUUUCCGAUCAAGUCUUCAACCUUUGCUUUGUUGGCAGGUGUCAAUGACACUGAUAACAACUACAUCAGAAUUCAAGCAAAAAAUAUUUUAGGUUGAAGAUUUUCACAAAACAAUCGCAGCUUAUUCUUUGUUGAUGCUCUUUCCUCUUAUUAACUUCUUAAGAAGUUCAGAGAUUGAGUCAGCAACUGUCCCUAAAUCUAGCUAAUUGGAUCUUUGUACAACUUUAAUUUCAAAUGUAAUCAAUAGAUGAUUUUUUUAUUUAUUUAUUGCCUAUUUGGACAAUAUUUUAUUCAGUUUUUGAGUUGGUUCGUCUUACUUGAGAUGAAAACUGGCCUUUCAUCUCAGGUUAAUAUCUUUAUGUCACGCAAAGACAUCCUAUUUGUUCAAGUUGGAAAAUUGGCAUAGAAAUAAUGAUCAUCAUACUCUUUCUGCCAAGUAAUUGAGCACUGUGCUCAAAACUGUGUGAGUUUUAACUCCAGCAGACAUGAUUUAUUUCCUAGCAGCCAAUUUGUCAAGACUCCAACAUGAGACAAAUAAGUCUGCAGUGGAAAAAUGAAGCUGAAAGUUUGCAUCACUCAUGUCAAAGCAGCGGUGGCAUGCCAAUCAGAGCGAUCUCCACAGAGUGGAGGGCAUGGAGCGGAGCAAGCAUACCGAGGCGUUACCGUGACACCCCCCCAACCCUAUCCUCCCACACACAUACAGGACAGCCGCCUGAUAAGAACGCACCUCUCCAGAAUAACAAUGAGACGCAGCAAUGUGAUACUGGCACCAUCUCCAAUGAACAUCGAGGAACGAAGAAAAAGACAAAAACAAAGAGGCCUUUUAGUGCGAGACAUCCAACAGAUGGCUGGAACCUUUCGAAAACACCGUUCUAUGUUACCUCUGAUGGCCUUGGCAGUUUGGUGCAAUUCCUCUGAAGGGGACACUCUAAAUUCAUGAAACAGGAGAAGAAAGGAAAAAUGUCCUCAAAGUCAGAUUCAGUUGAAUACAUGAAUAAUUUAGAGCACUGAAAGAUUUGCGGCCCUCAAAUCACAAAAAACAGGGAUUCAUUAUUCAUCUGUUUCAAACUGGGAGAUAUUUUAUGCACAACUUACACCAUGCUGAUGUUCUGAGUACAAAACAAAGCCUCUUGUCCUUCUGGAAAA